UUUUUUUUAUGAGCACCACUGACUGUGUAGGUGUUAUCAUCCUUUGCCUGUCAGUGGUCAGCAUAAAAACAUCCUAUCAGAGAAGAAUGCUGUAUCUUCCUAGUUCAUUAUUAAGUGUUUCAUAAAUUGGAGGAUUAAAGUGGGUGCUGUACCGAAAGGCUCACAGUCAAAGUUGUGUGGGACAGAAGACUGUCUGGUCAAGUCACAGGGAUACUGUCACAUACGCUUUCUGCCUUUUCAGUGGACAUUACUGAAAGGCAGUCAUGUGUCUACUAGGUUCCGCUGUCCUUUUCUCUGUCAUGCUGCAGACAUUGUCUGCUCCGACAGAGCCUCUAUUUACUUCUCUGCUAAGGAUAUUGAUGGCAAUGAGGUAUCCCUUGAGAAAUACAGUUCCUGAUUAACAGAGGGCCAGGUUAUGAAGAGAUAUGGACCAAUGGGUGAUCCAAGCGCGGUGGAGAAGGACCUUCCCACGUACCUGUAAUUCUUCCAUCACUAACUGACUAAUGCACUGAUACUCAUCCAUCCCUCCCUCUCCGGUGAGCCAAUGGGUGAGAGUGGGUCCAUUCCCCAGACCAGUGACGGUCUGUCUGCAAACCCGCUUGACUGGGAGGACAGACCUGAUGAAAACGGCGUGCAACCAACCCUCUGGGAGGACCCGCUAUAAGCAUACCCAGCCAGAGCCGGAGAGGAAUCCUGACCCCCUACAACUGUUCGCUUUGAAUACAUACAACUGAAUGUGCAUAACUGAAAAUAUGAUCUUAGUGUCAUAUUCCAUAAUAAAUAAACGCUUUUGUGCUAA